rnacentral:rRNA from 1 species
UACAGAGGAUGCAAGCGUUAUCCGGAAUGAUUGGGCGUAAAGCGUCUGUAGGUGGCUUUUUAAGUCCGCCGUCAAAUCCCAGGGCUCAACUCUGGACAGGCGGUGGAAACUACCAAGCUGGAGUACGGUAGGGGCAGAGGGAAUUUCCAGUGGAGCGGUGAAAUGCGUAGAUAUUGGAAAGACCACCAAUGGCGAAGGCACUCUACUGGGCCAUUACUGACACUGAGAGACGAAAGCUAGGGGAGCAAAUGGG